CAAUUAGUGAAGAUUCCACUCUUAUAUCAGUUAAUGCUGUACAGCUGUUAUAUGGAAUAGGUGUGUCUCACUCUUAUCUCUACAGCCUGAAAUGCUAUAUGUCCUGGGGUUAUGUUUUAUGGACAAAAGGCAUCAGAAAUAAGAUAGAAUGACUUUACUAAAGGAAUAUACUGUCAGCUUCAAGCCAGGCACUAUCCGGUGAAAGUGUGGACUGCAACUCUCUUCACCGUCAGCCAGCUGAUUUGCAGCUCAGAAUCUUG